AGUUAAAAAUUUUAUUAAUUUGUACGGUUAAAAAUUAUUGUGGCUGAUGGAAUAACUAAAUAAUUAUACGUGGCUUGUCACAUGCACAUCAUGCUAACAUACGUGGACAAGUUUUAAUAGUAAAAAUAGAUGGAAUUUCUUAACA
rfam:Gossypium hirsutum cultivar TM-1 chromosome 3, whole genome shotgun sequence